rnacentral:lncRNA from 1 species
GGUGGGGGGUGGGGGGAGUUGGGGCAGUGGCAGCAGGGACGGUGAAGGGCGAGAGUGGGAGGCAGGGGUAGGGGGCCCCUCAGCAGGGGCCUGGUGUACCCCAUAGGGAUAGCUGGAUGGGGUGGGGAACAGAUAGUUAGGUAGCACCAAGGCCACCACUGGGGUUACCAGGGGGGUAGAGAAGGUGGCAGGGGGCACAGAGGUGGGGGCAGUGGGAAGAGGCUGGGGACCUCCCUCGGGGGAGAACACUGGGACGGGGUAGGGCUGGACCACUGCUGGAAAGGGGGUAGUGGCUGGUGGGGGUGGCCAGGGGCCAGAGGGCGGUACAGGUGAGGGGUGGGGGACAUAGCAGGGGGCUUCCAGCACGGGAGGUCUGAUGGCGGCGUGAGCGCUUGGCUUUGGAUCGGCAGUGGUGUCGGCGGCUGGGGGCGUGGGGCCAUGGUGGCAGCCUGUAGGGAGAGAGUAGGUUAGUGCAUGGGACUCAGCCUGGGUAUUAGUGUCCCUACUACCCGAACUGUCCUGACACUGUGACCAGGGAGAGGGCAGGCAAAGGCCCCAGAGAGAAUUCUCAGCCCACACAGAACACAGGGGACUCAGGAGGUGGCGGCACCUUCAUGAAAGAAUCACAGCAGCCAGGGAUAGGGGGUUUAUUGAGAAAGGAGCCAGAAAAAGGCAAGGGUACAUGAGGGGUCAAGAUGGACAUGUGCAAAAGGCAGAGGCAGAGGCACUGGCAGAUGGGAAGAGGCAGAGUGGGUCCGGUGAACAGGUAGGCGGUUCCAGUCCAUCUGCCAAAAUCCUGCAGGCACUGUCAGCCUGGAUACUCCUGCCAGUCAAGGCUGUGAUCUGCCUAGCUCACAACAGAGUGAAGAGGUGGUCAGGAAAACAUGAGCCCAAGUCUGGAGUUCUGUAUCUACCUCUACACCUGUACAGGGCCUCCCUUGGGCAGCUGGAGGGGGUGUCUUCCUUUUCUCCUUGAAACCCUGACCCCACCCAGAGCUGGCCCAGAGUCUAUGUAGAUCUCUUGAUCAGCUGGCCAACUGAGUCCUAGGGGAGCAUACUUCCUGCCCCUGCCCCUAGGCUAGGGCCUGAAGUAGCUUACCUGGAAUAGAGUACCUCUGACUACCCAUCUAAAUGCCUAGCAGGGGAGAGGCUACCAAGGGACCUGCCCCUAGGUACAGCCCUAGUAGCAGAAACAGCACCAGCCUGGGUCCCCCCGAGCAGAAACAUUUCCCUCAAGGCCCAUCCCUGACAGUCUGGCCCUAGACUGGGCAGAGGACAGCUCAGGGAACCCCCAGGAGGCUACCCCGCUCCCCAGGGGCCGAGGGGGCUGUGGAAGAGCCGUCAAGUCCACGUAGCCGGCCAAGGUCUCGGAAGCGGCUGAGGAAGGCUUGCUCUUCCCUUCUGUGUGUGCAGGGACAGCACGGCCUUGGUCAGGCCCACUGGGCGGUAGGCAUCUGGGGCUGGGUCAGGAGCUACUGUGGGGCUGGGGGCCGGGCUGAGGGCUGGGCCCAGAGCUAAACCAGGCAGGUCCUCCAUCAUGAUGAUGUCUAAGGAAGGUGAGAUGGGGAAAGGUCAUCAGCAUCUCAGGACUCAACAUAUCCACAGCACACCCUCCCUGCCAACAGCCUAGUCCCCCUGCCUCUGCCCCACAGCCAGCCCUGGGCUCUGUGUGCAUCUCCUGACCACCUUUCUGCUGAGGGCUGUCCCUGAACCCUCCUCUCAUACAAAGCUGUCCUAGGACACAAACUACUCAGUCCCUUCCAACAGCCACUGCCCUGCCAAGAACCCCCAGGGUGACACCUUUACAAUUCUUUGUUGGAAGGAACGCCCACCCCUUGGCCUUCCUACACAUGUUUUGAAGACCUUUGGAGUCUUCAACAUUCUUUGCCUCUGCCCUCUGUGAUCAGCACCUCAGAAUUGGAGCCCCCCAACUUUACCCCAGACUGUACAGUAAGAAUAUAGGAAGAGGGCUGGGGAUUUAG